rnacentral:lncRNA from 1 species
AAGCUUAGGCUUUCACAAAGCUAAGCUUGAGGGGGAGUGUUGAGAAGAGAUGAGGAUAUAAGGAAGGAAGACUUAUGGGAACUAGUUGAGCUUGGGGAGUUAAGGCAUAGCAUGGACGAGCCAUCCGUACAAGGCCGUACAGAAUCCGUACUAGGCCGUACAAAGGGAGAAGGUAACUCAGUCAUGGUGAAACAAAGUUACACAAGUAACUUUGUAUGAAGGGAAGAAGCCUUGAUCACUUAGGCAAAGUGAUCAGACCGUUGAGAGUGGAUAAGGAAGGGAGAAGGAGCGUGUGACAGACUGUCAUGGACUGGAAGGAUAAGGCAUAAAGCAAAAGAUGCCUCACACACGCGGAUGCUCCCAUUGGACACUUUCAAAUGGGCGCUCCUCUUAUGCUUUGACCUCACAUGCUUGUAUACUGAAACCCUAGUGUCUCCUUCUCACUAUAUAUUGUAUCUCAAUCUCAUUAAUGAAAGUUAGACAGUUCUAAUCACUAAAUCUCUCUACACAUUUCACAAUGAUUCUCCAUUAGUCUCAUAAUCUCUUACUCUUUCUUAAUCUAUCUCUUAUUCUCUUAUAAACUCAGAUUCUAUCUUACAUUUCUCAAAAGUCAUAUGGUAUCAGAGCCAGGUUGAUUUCAAUCUGAGUUC